rnacentral:tRNA from 1 species
ACAACUGUAGCUCAGUUGGUUAGAGCGCUGCACCGGAAUCGCAGGGCCGUAGGUUCAAUUCCUACCAGAGGAC